GCGGGCGUGCCGGAGUGGUCAAACGGGACAGACUCAAGAUCUGUUGCUUAGUGCUUACAUAGGUUCGAAUCCUAUCGUCCGCA
rnacentral:tRNA from 1 species